rnacentral:rRNA from 1 species
UACAGAGGUCUCAAGCGUUGUUCGGAUUCAUUGGGCGUAAAGCGUACGCAGACGGCAUGAAAGGUCGGACGUGAAAGCCCCGGGCUCGACCCGGGAAAUGCGUCCGAAACCAUCUAGCUCGAGUAUGAGAGAGGGAAGCGGAAUUCCUGGUGUAGAGGUGAAAUGCGUAGAUAUCAGGAGGAACACCGGUGGCGAAGGCGGCUAUCUGGACAGAAACUGACGCUGAGGCGCGAAAGCUAGGGGAGCAAACAGG